AACGAACGCUGGCGGCAUGCCUAACACAUGCAAGUCGAACGAAGCCUUCGGGCUUAGUGGCGCACGGGUGCGUAACACGUGGGAAUCUGCCCUUCGGUUCGGAAUAACAGUUAGAAAUGACUGCUAAUACCGGAUGAUGACGUAAGUCCAAAGAUUUAUCGCCGAAGGAUGAGCCCGCGUAGGAUUAGGUAGUUGGUAGGUAAUGGCCUACCAAGCCGACGAUCCUUAGCUGGUCUGAGAGGAUGAUCAGCCACACUGGGACUGAGAUACGGCCCAGACUCCUACGGGGGCAGCAAUUAGGAAUCUUGCGCAAUGGGCGAAAGCCUGACGCAGCGACGCCGCGUGCAGGAUGACGGCCUUCGGUUGUAAACUGCUUUUAAGUAGGGAAGAAGAACUGACUGUACUUCUUGAAUAAGCCCGGCUAACUACGUG
rnacentral:rRNA from 1 species